GAUGUCCCCUUCUUGGGGGGCUUAAAUGAAUGCAGUUCCUUUCCCUCACUUUCCAUCCUCAGGGAUAAGUAAACUUGCAAUCUUUGUGUUUCAGGGUAAUGCGGAGGUGGACGGAGUUGUUGGUAUGAGGGAUCAAGCUGUUCUAUUCAGGAGGGAAUGAAGAGUGAUGAGAAGAGAUGCUGCUCAAGCUGCUCAGAGCCUAGAGGGGAGACCUGAGACCUUAAAGAAGCAGACAGAAGGAGGAAGGGAGGAUCACGGGCCUUUCGUCAGUUCUACACGGUGUCACUUUAGGGCAGAUUUCACGUGGGUGGCAGAGCUGAGCCUUUGCCGCGUGUUCCAGCUCCCAACUCCAUCCCUUUCUGGAUUCCCUGCUGGACACGUUCUUUCCUCUGGGACUAGCACACUUGGAUUUGGCUCAGUUCCUUCUGGAAGCUGAAGAUGAGCAGGAAGGAAGGAUCACGGGCCUUUCGUCGGUUCUACACGAUGUCACUUUACGGCAGAUUUCACGUGGGUGGCAGAGCUGAGCCUUUGCCGCGUGUUCCAGCUCCCAACUCCAUCCCUUUCUGGAUUCCCUGCUGGACACGUUCUUUCCUCUGGGACUAGCACACUUGGAUUUGGCUCAGUUCCUUCUGGAAGCUGAAGAUGAGCAGGUAAGUUCCCUUUCCACUUCUGGGCAUUUACCUGGUCCUGGAUAGUUGUGACCCAGUGCUCAGUCUGGCAUUUUUGGUUUGCCUGCUCAGGUUUCUUUUUGUGUUUGAUGUUGAGAUUUUGAAGUUUGCCUUUUCUGUGCCGGUGAGUCUAGUGUCCUGGGUCUGGCAUUCCCGAGCCUAACUUCAAAUACACAGGCUACCUUCUUCUCCUGCUUCUUUUCCAAGCAUGGCUUAUUAAUUCAGCUGAACAAUGUUGUUGCUAUUUCUAUUGACUGUAAGGUGAUGUGAGAGGCGGGGCUAUGGUGAUAAGGGGGUGGAGCCAUGGUGAUGAGGGAGAUGGAAAAGUCAAGAGAUUGAAAAGUCAAGAGUUGAGUCUCAUCCUUGCUCUUACGUCUCCUGAAAUUCUGGAUCAAGACCCUCAGAGUGUAGUAGUAACCAGCCUGAAAGUGCCUGUUACUCUUUUGAAAACCAUCGGCAUUGUUUUUUUUUUUUUUUUUUUUUAGAAUGUAAAACAUAUUUUCUUGUGAAUGGCAGUUCUAUGAAAACUGAUUAAGAUUCUUGACUGUUCUUCAAAAUCUUUUAAAAUGCUAGGAAGUAAGUAAACAGGAGUUUGUUAAAUUAUUUUCUGUUUUUGUUUUUUUUUGGUAUGUUUGAAAUAUUUCAUAUGUAAAAAUAAAAUAAUUCAAUUUAAUGCAUAAUAUUCUGACCUCCGUGCAUCCUGGGAAGAGGGUCAAUAGAGAUGAGGGAGGGGAAGUUAAGGAAGGAAGACAAUUCUCUUUCUCUUGAUUUGUUUUGGGCACAACUUUGAAACAGGGUAGCUAUGUCCCUGGCUUUUUCAUGCUUUCCCUUCUGCAACCUCACCUGCCUCUCACUUCAUCCAGGGUGACAGUCCCAUUCCAGGCAGCCCUUGAACACUGUACUUUCCAAAUGUUCUCUGCCUUCAAAAUUGGGGUGUGGCUAGAAGUGUUUAGAAAGUGCUUCAAUUAUCUAUUGAUGCUCAAUAAAUUGUCUUGAAAUGUGGUGUCUUAAAACAGCUAUUUUAUUUGGUCACACCCUAUGGGUCAGGGAAGUAGGAUAGGGCAUAUGGGGAUAGAUGGUUGACAGUCUGUGUGUGAUCCAUGAUGUCUGGUCAGGAAAAGUUUAACAUUGAACAUAGUGAUUAGGAAUGUGGGGAUAUGGGAUCAGAUUGCUGGGGCCCAAAUCCUAGUUUUUCCAUGUAUUAGCUGAUGAAAUAAUGAUAAUCAUAGCCACUAACCUCAUAUGAGUAUUGUCUUCAAGUUGACUUUCAGGUGCAUUCUAGUAUUUAGUCUAGACUGCCCAACUCUGCUGAUAAUGGUGGUAUUGUUAUAUUAUCAUUGCCAUUUACACUUAACCUUGAAAACUCAGCCUAGGCAUAUACAGGCAAGUUCUGGGGUUAGGCUGUUAAGGUCUCACAUGGGAAGGAUAAGCAUUUUGUCCUGUAGACAAAGAGGAAUUUCCAGCUGGGGAAUGACAGGAUCAAGCCCCUUCUCCCUCCCUUGUUCCUGCUCCCUCUGCCCUUUCUUCCUCAUUUCCUCUUCUCUCCCCACUUUAAAACGAUGACAGUAUGUUCAAGUUGUGCAAAUCAAAGGAAUAGAUUAGAAACAGGAGAAUAAAUGUGCUUAGCAGACCCAGGAAAUCUCCAGGGGAUUGGAAUUGAUUACCCAGCAUGUAAUAUACAAAACCAUCAUUUUUCUGCAUGUGGUGAACAAUGGUGAACAAUGGAAGUGAAGUAACUCCCCACUCCAGUCCCCCUAAUCUGAUGGAAUUUUCUCAGUAAUGUUGUGGAGUCAUAGGGGUGAGCAUGCACCAACUGGGCCAAUUCCCACUGGCCUUUAUUUUCUGGAAGGGUUGGCAGCAGAGGAAGACCAGAACCUUUUCCAGUGCACAUACCUACUUUAAUAUGGAGAGGAUUCUGCCUGUCCUGGGAGAUGCUGCGACCUUGGGAAGUUGUGUGGAUGAAAAGAUACAUGCUUUAUAUCAGACUUAAAAAAUAUAUCCUGUUAUCUUUCACCAUGUAAGGAAGGACUUCUUUACAUGGGAUCUGUGUGAACCCCAUAUGGUCCCAUUGUCAUCUGGGGUGGUCCUGGUAUUGGACUUCACUGGAUCCAACAGGGCCAAAUUUACUUCAGUAAUUGGAAAAUCUUGACUGUAUGAUGGGUGCAGGUUAGAGAAUGUUAGGCAGUCAUAAGCUUCAGAGUUUGUUUUGUAGUUCCUUUUAGUUUCAGUUGAGAUUGGCCAUAAGAACUUCGCUUUUCAUGGGUUCAAGUAACCAUGGGGCUGAAUUUCACUUAGUACUCAUCUUUUUUUUUGAUUCUGAAGGUUGGAUUUAUUUGAAUAAAGGGACAAGGGUAACAUGAGCUGCCAACCUAUAUGACGUUUUUGCAUGUAGUAGAAAAAAGCACUCUUUUAUGGCAUAUGUAGCACAUCAAAGUCAUGACUUAGGAGCAAGCAUGGCUAUAUUUUAGCCCCCUAGUUAUCUCCUGAAGGGAGAGUCUAUGCAAUGCCCAACUCACACGUCCAAAUGUGGCAGCCUUGUGUGAAGGGAAAGUAUAUAAUAAUAGGCUGACUUAGUAAUUCAGAAGUGUGCCUGAGUUUGGGACAUCCUUUCUGAUUCAGUAGGUUUUGAUUAGUGGCUUAGAGUUUCUGAUUUAGUAGGUCUGAGGUAGGGCCCAAGAAUUUGGAUUUCUAGUAGGUUCCUAAGUGAUGCCAGUAACCCUGGCCUGGGAGUUACAUUUCGAGCACCACUUCUGUGGGGUGUAAUUCCAUGACCCAGAUUUCCUCACUUCCAGGUGCUAGUUACCUGAUUUGCUCAUCAAACUCAAAUAUGCUUCUUUAUACAGUGGUGUAGGUUGGUCCCAAAUAUAUGGCUUCACUGGAACUUUCUGGAAGAGGAUUCUUCUAGCUGUUUUCCUAGCACUUCCCUGUACUCUAGAAGGCCAUUGAUAAAUUUGGGUCUGUGGCACCUCAACCAGCUCAGCCAUCAGCAUCAGAGUAGAGUUGAACCAGUUCUCCUUUUCUAGACCCUUUGUAUCCUUCAUAAUUCUCUCCUGGAGUAUUGCUUCUUGGACUCAAAUGUCGCGUGCUUGAUUUUAGUCUAGAGAUUUAUUUUUAUAUAGUCUGGAGAAAACAGUGCUAUUUUUUGUCAUCUAAGUGCAAAAAACAAAACAAAACUUAGUGUACUAGGAAAUUAUGCAGAGACAGUUUAAUACUUGGACAACUUAAAACACGUGUGCGCAUGCACAGGGGCUUUCUCAGAGACAUCACUGAGUGAAUAAUAGGCUGCCUGGGCCCUUACAGCAGAGCCAAUGAAAUUUAGUUUUGCUCGAGUUUGGUUAUUGGUGUUAUGAUGCUCCCUCUGGGCCAUCAAGGAGUGAAACUGGAGCGCUCAUUUUUGGAGCUGUUGAAGUUUCAAGCUCCUUUGAGGUAUUGGCAGUGGGCUUGGCAUGCUUUCAGAUGUGGAUGGCUUUCCCACUAAUACCUCGCAGGCCCAUGGGACAUUUUUUUAAAAGUUUGAGCACCAAGUCAACCCAUCUCCUUAGUGGCAGUAGUUGCUUUAUCUGUGAGAAUAACUGUCCUUCUUAGCUUCUCAAUUUGUCACCUGUGCAGUGAUUUAUUACCUUCCAAAGCUGCAGUAAUUAUAUAAUGAUGCAAAAAUAAUGACAAGCCAUUCUGAUAAACUUUAUUACCUGUAGCAUCUUGUAUUCAAACUGCAUUCUAGCACACUCUGUAGGAUUACCAAGCACCCCUACAUGUGUGACAGCCAGCAGGGAGGGCGGCUUCUCAGGUCUGAGAGGAAAAGAGGAAAAGAAACAGGAUUCAAGCUUCCUGAACAGAGGCUGGGAAGAAUUGGGCUGGGGUGAGUUGAUUCCCAUUUGGGGCACAGGCCAAAUGGACUUAUCUCCAUUUUUAUCCCAACAAUUCAGUAUUCACUUGCCUAUUUUAAAUUGGGGCUAUAGAAUUGGCUCUUUAAACAAUCUUCAAUGAAAUAUAUAGUCAAAAGAAUGUAUAUAAAUGAUGUGCAGUUGAACUCUUAUUUUUAUCUUGAACCCGCACCUUUAGAGCCUCUCCUUUUUAUCAGAUGACAAAGUUUCCCCUGGAGCUGUGUUGCGAGGCACUGUCCAGUGUUCUAGUCUUGAGAGUGAAGGACUCAAGAAGGCUGACGUACAAAGUAACUUUCAGAUUUGCUUCUCAUUUUGGAAAAAUAUCUGAACUUAAAAUAUCUUUCAUGGGGAAUUGAGAACUGAGAUACAAAAUCAUAAUGUGGCUGGUAAGAGAGUUCUUUUAGUAAAUGCAGCUUGCCUAAUUUGGGUCUGUGGUUGGAGGGUCAGGUCUUCAAUUAUUUUCCUGAACCGAGGAGUAAUGCAGUCCCUAUAGCUGACUGUGGAGGCCAGGAUGAUGGAUAGGGGUCCUGUGCUGUCUUCCAUCUCCUUCCUGAUGACCAGCCAGUGACCUCAGGCAAUGCUUGUUUCUUUUAUGAUGGAUUCUCCUGGGAUUGUACCAGGGGGCUUAGGCCAGGCCUGUGUCCAGAGUUGGGCGGAGGUGCUUAAAAAUGAGGAAAAGUCAUGAUUAUAUCAGAGUACAGAUGAUUCCAGUACUACCAGUGCCCACAUUUCUCAUCUUGACAGGCUCUUAGUUGGAUUACAUUUCCUAGCCUCUUUUAUAGUUAGAUGGGAACAUGUGACCUAUUCUGACCAAUAGAAUGUAGGUAUUUCCAGGACCGGCCAUAAAUCUCCCAAGCGUGGCUCUCCCUUCUCUUUUUCUACCGCCUGACACCAGAGAAGGACUAUGUAAGACAGAAGAACUGUAGAUGGAAGUGGCCUUAGAAGUUGAGUUACUUCUUAAAGGAGAGACUCCUAGGAGUCCACAGAACUGUAAUGUGAAAGAGAAAUCUUUUUUUGUGUUAAAACAUUGAAGUUCCAGGGUCAACUUGUUAGUCUAGCAUAAUUUACCCUGUUCUGACUUCUUGGCUCUGAGAAUCUGUCUUUCUAGGGUCACAUCUGCUAGGGGUUGAAUUGGAGCUGUAGCUGCCAGGCCACAGCAACGCUGGGUCCCUAACCCACUGAGAAAGGCCACGGAUUUAACCCACAUCCUCAUGGAUACUAGUGGCGUUCAUUAUGGCCUAGGUCUUUCUGAUUGGCCAAGGCUGUGCUUUCUUCUUCUGAGUUCUCAAAAUUGGGAAGUAUCUCAGCAUGAGAAUGGUGAUUUGAACCCUGGAGAGUCCAGAUCUGUAGAUGCUGUCAGGGAGGUGGUGGUUUCAAGGCAAGGGCUAGGCAGGGCUUCUCAGUCUUGGCACUAUUGACAGUGGGGCCGGAUGGUUCUUAGUGGUGGGGACAGACUGGACAUUGUGAGAUGCUUAGCAGCAUCCCUGCUAGAUACCAAUAGUGCUUUCCACCUCCCUACAAAUUAUGACCAUCAAAAUAUCUCAAGACGUUAUUAAAGGUCCCUGGGGGAAGGGGGAAAAUCACCCUUAGUUGAGAACCACUGGUCUAGACAAAGGCAAAUCCCCAGCUUUAGACCUCAGGAGCACGAGUUUUCCUCUCUGCUUUUCCCUACUUCAUAUCAUGGAUUGAAGCAGUCUUUGCUUCCUCAUAAUACAUGAGGACCAGAGCUGGCGUUUUUUGCCAUUUGAGACUCUCCAGGAGUGGAGCACAUCAUCUCCACUGGCUUCCUUCCUUCCCUCAUAUUAGUAUCUGUAGCUGCAAAACAAAUUCCUUCAAAACUUAGUGGCUUAAAGCAACAAUAACUUACUAUAUUGCAGUUUCUGUGGGUCGGGAAUUUACGAAUAGCUUUGGUGGGUAGCUCUGGCCGAGGGUCUCACAUGUGGUUGCAGUCAAAAUGUUGGCGGCAGUCCAGUCCUCUGAAAGCUUGAUUGGGGAUGGAGAAAUUUGUUUCCAAAAUGGUCCCUCAGGUGGUUGUGGGCAGGAGACCUCAGUUCCUCACCAUGUAGGCUUCUGCAAAGUCUUCCUGGGCAUCCUUACAACGUGACAGCUGAUAAGAGCAAGUGGUUCAAUAGAAAGAGAAAAUGAGGAAGAAGCCUUGGGAUCUUUUAUGAUCUGAAGUCACACGCCACCACUUCUGCUUUUCUAUAGUCACUCAAAGCAAAUCACUAAGUUGGGCACCUGUUCCAGAGAAGGAGAAUUGGCCUCCACCUCUUGGAGGGAGGAGUGAAAAAGGAUGUGUGGACAUAUUUUGAAACUAUCACAUCCAGUACCAAGCUUUCUUUGCUUAGCUACACUGGGCUACUCUCCAACCCUUGACACAUGAGGUGUAUUCUUAGAUUUUGAACUCCCCCUACAGUACUUUUGCCCCAUCUUCCAGAUUUCCAAUUCUCACUGGACUGUAGCAUUACCCAGGAGUUACCUUUGGAAAAGAUCUGAUGAACUCAUUCAGGCAGGUU
rnacentral:lncRNA from 1 species